GUCGAACGCUGGCGGCGUGCUUAACACAUGCAAGUCGAACGAAGUGGCGCACGGGUGAGUAACGCGUAAUCAACCUCCCCUUCAGUGGGGGCCAACCGUUGGAAACGACUGCUAAUACCGCAUACUGAAGGAGGGGAUUGCGUCUGCUUCGCUCGGUGGCGGGGUAACGGCCCACCAAGGGGAUGAUCAGUAGACGGUCUGAGAGGAUGAACGGCCACAAUGGGAAUGAGACACGGGCCAGACUCCUACGGGAGGCAGCAGUGGGGAAACAUCCGAAAAGGAGGAAAGGCUGAAGGAGCAACGCCGGGUGAGUGAUGACAGCCUUCGGGUUGGAAAGCUCUGUUAAUCGGGACGCGGUACCGGAAGAGAAAGCAACGGCUAACUACGUGCCAGCAGCCGCGGUAAUAC
rnacentral:rRNA from 1 species